UCGGGAAUUUUGGGCAAUGGGCGAAAGCCUGACCCAGCAACGCCGCGUGAGUGAAGAAGGCCUUCGGGUUGUAAAGCUCUUUCAGACGGAAAGAAACGGUCGCGGCCAAUACCCGCGACUAAUGACGGUACCGUAAGAAGAAGCACCGGCUAACUACGUGCCAGCAGCCGCGGUAAUACGUAGGGUGCGAGCGUUAAUCGGAAUUACUGGGCGUAAAGCGUGCGCAGGCGGUUUGGUAAGACAGAUGUGAAAUCCCCGGGCUUAACCUGGGAACUGCAUUUGUGACUGCCAGACUAGAGUGUAGCAGAGGGGGGUAGAAUUCCACGUGUAGCAGUGAAAUGCGUAGAUAUGUGGAGGAAUACCGAUGGCGAAGGCAGCCCCCUGGGCUAACACUGACGCUCAUGCACGAAAGCGUGGGGAGCAAACAGGAUUAGAUACCCCCGUAGUCCCUGAGCGGGCUGGCAAGGCGCAU
rnacentral:rRNA from 1 species